GGUCUUGCUUUUUUUCCAGCUGGGUGCUAUUUGAAUUUGGCAACUAUAGGGGGCGCCAAUUCCUUUUGGAGCCGACAGAAAUCACCAACUGGCCCAAGUUCAGCUCUGUGCAGACGAUUGGCUCACUGUAUCCAGUCAGACAGAAGCGGCACUUUUUCCGCAUCCGGAAUGCAGACAGCCAUCACCUCAUGUCGAUCCAGGGCGGGGUGGAAGAGCUGAAGUCCGGACGGGUGGUGGUCACACCAGAGGCGGAGCCCAUGAGUGACAUUUGGUUCUAUCAGGAUGGACAAAUCAAAAAUAAGGUCAUUACUUGAACAUGUACCUUGAUAUUUAAAAAA